AGAGCUGCGCGUCAAAGCAUCUUCGCGGGCAUUCGGUGAAAUUUUCAACAGAAAAAUUAACGACAAUAGCGCUAAUAGCAGGGAAACUGUGAGCGGCAUAAGGAAUAAAAGGAAACAAAAAACACGCCAAUGAAAUACAGGCGAACUGAAGGAAAUAACACUAGGCCGAACGUCGGCUACAAAGAAAUCGUACUAACCAUGCCAAUAGGCGUACACAUACCUACACCACUAUAGAAUGAGCGCCCACAA